UGCACACAUCAUCUUCUCCAAGGUUUGUGUGCAGAAUAUCCUGCCCAUGCUGCCCCAGCAGCUUCAGUUGGCACCUGCCCCAGUCCAGCCUCUGGGAACCAUGCAGUGGCUCCCAGCGGCCCUGCAGCCACCACCAGCAUCCGUUUCACCUGCAGUUGAAGAUCCGUGAGGUGCCCAGAAGAUCAUGCAGUCAUCAGUCCCACGGAGCAGCCCGCGAGGCUGAGGCUCCUCCCACUGGACCGCCCCCCAACUGGCACCACUGCUGCCCCUGCCCCUACUCUCAGCCUCAUGUGACUCUCGGGCAGAGACAGUGGUGGGGCAGCCACGGCAGCGUCAAAAGUCUGAGCCAGCUGGAGGACAAGUUCGAGCAUCUUAAAAUGAUUCAACAGGAGGAGAUAAGGAAGCUCGAGGAAGAGAAAAAACAACUGGAAGGAGAAAUCAUAGAUUUUUAUAAAAUGAAAGCUGCCUCUGAAGCACUGCAGACUCAGCUGAGCACUGAUACAAAGAAAGACAAACAUCCUGAUCCAUAUGAAUUCCUCUUAUUAAGAAAAAUAAAGCAUCCAGGAUUCAAUGAAGAACUAUCACCUUGUUAAUCAUUCAGAAACAUGUUGCAGACUUAAGCCAUUUUUGAUAUACAUACUGAAACAAUUACUUGCUAAGAGCAAACUUGAAGGUAUGGAUAAGGCCCUGAGUCAUCUUCCUGAGCUGAAUGAUAGUUAAGCU
rnacentral:lncRNA from 1 species